GACCGCUCCGAUAGCCUAGUGGUUAGAGCGUCCGCCUCGGUUGCGGGAGGGUUGCGCGGUUCGAACCCCGGCCGAGUCA